CCUUUAACAUUUCUUAUAAGGCAGGUCUGGUGGUCAACUCCCUCUGGUUUUAUUCGUCUGGGAAAAUCCUGAUCUAGUCUUCAUUUCUGAAGGAGAGUGCUGCUAGGGUUUCUGAUGAAAUAUUUGCUGAUAGUCUGAUGACGGGUUCCCUUGUAUCAGAUGCCCACAAAGGAACCCUUAUCUGUGGAUGACUACCAAAAUCAAUGUUCUGUGAGGGAAUGACCGUAGAGAACGCCUAUUCUACCAUCUUG